rnacentral:rRNA from 1 species
UGAAAUUGAACUCGCUGUGAAGAUGCAGUGUACCCGCGGCAAGACGGAAAGACCCCGUGAACCUUUACUAUAGCUUGACACUGAACAUUGAGCCUUGAUGUGUAGGAUAGGUGGGAGGCUUUGAAGUGUGGACGCCAGUCUGCAUGGAGCCGACCUUGAAAUACCACCCUUUAAUGUUUGAUGUUCUAACGUUGACCCGUAAUCCGGGUUGCGGACAGUGUCUGGUGGGUAGUUUGACUGGGGCGGUCUCCUCCUAAAGAGUAACGGAGGAGCACGAAGGUUGGCUAAUCCUGGUCGGACAUCAGGAGGUUAGUGCAAUGGCAUAAGCCAGCUUGACUGCGAGCGUGACGGCGCGAGCAGGUGCGAAAGCAGGUCAUAGUGAUCCGGUGGUUCUGAAUGGAAGGGCCAUCGCUCAACGGAUAAAAGGUACUCCGGGGAUAACAGGCUGAUACCGCCCAAGAGUUCAUAUCGACGGCGGUGUUUGGCACCUCGAUGUCGGCUCAUCACAUCCUGGGGCUGAAGUAGGUCCCAAGGGUAUGGCUGUUCGCCAUUUAAAGUGGUACGCGAGCUGGGUUUAGAACGUCGUGAGACAGUUCGGUCCCUAUCUGCCGUGGGCGCUGGAGAACUGAGGGGGGCUGCUCCUAGUACGAGAGGACCGGAGUG